GGGACUGUGGCUCAGUGGCAGAGUGCUUGCCUUGCAUGUAUGAGGUACUAGGUUUGAUCCUCAGUACCA
rnacentral:tRNA from 1 species